AUCUUACCACAGACAUCCUUUGUCACCCAGACAGCCCAUUACCUGUCUUCAAGUUCCUUUCUUUACAUCUGUAUCACAAAGAAUGGGUACAGGCGUCCAUCAUCUGUGGUAACUGAGAACUGUUCUUGGGAUGAUGUGAAACAUGUUUUCUUGGCAGUGAACUUACGUAGAUAGGGAAGCACUUUCUUCAACCUUCUGCUGUCAGGGAAAUGAUAUACAAUAAUAGAAAAUUUACAACAGCUUAAAAUUGA